CCUACGGGAGGCAGCAGUGGGGGAUAUUGCACAAUGGGGGAAACCCUGAUGCAGCGACGCCGCGUGAGUGAUGACGUAUUUCGGUAUGUAAAGCUCUAUUAGCAGGGAAGAAAAUGACAGUACCUGACCAAGAAGCCCCGGCUAACUACGUGCCAGCAGCCGCGGUAAUACGUAGGGGGCAAGCGUUAUCCGGAUUUACUGGGCGUAAAGGGAGCGUAGGAGGGUAUGUAAGUCCGGAGUGAAAGCCUGGGGCCCAACCCCAGGACUGCAUUGGAAACUGUGAGACUGGAGUACAGGAGGGGCAGGCGGAAUUCGUGGUGUAGCGGUGAAAUGCGUAGAUAUCAGGAGGAACACCGACGGCGAAGGCGGCCUGCUGGACUGAAACUGACGUUGAGGCUCGAAAGCGUGGGGAGCAAACAGGAUUAGAUACCCUAGUAGUC
rnacentral:rRNA from 1 species